rnacentral:rRNA from 1 species
CGAACGCUGGCGGCGUGCUUAACACAUGCAAGUCGAGCGAGAAAGCGGGUCUUCGGAUCUGUGAGUACAGCGGCGAACGGGUGAGUAUCACGUGAGUAACGUGCCCUAGGGUGGGGGAUAACAGUGCGAAAGCGCUGCUAAUACCGCAUAAGCUCACAUUGCCUUCGGGUGAGGUGAGAAAAGGGGGCCUCUGUAUAUGCUCCCGCCCUUCGAUCGGCUCGCGCCCCAUUAGCUUGUUGGUGAGGUAACGGCUCACCAAGGCUACUAUGGGUAGCUGGUCUGAGAGGAUGAUCAGCCACACUGGAACUGAGACACGGUCCAGACUCCUACGGGAGGCAGCAGUGGGGAAUCUUGCGCAAUGGGCGAAAGCCUGACGCAGCAACGCCGCGUGUGUGAUGAAGGCCUUCGGGUUGUAAAGCACUGUCAAGAGGGAAGAAAUGCUAUCGGGUAAUAUCUGGUGGCUAUGACGGUACCUCUGAAGGAAGCACCGGCUAACUCC